rnacentral:rRNA from 1 species
GGAGGAAAAGAAACUAACCAGGAUUCCCCUAGUAGCUGCGAGCGAAGAGGGAAAAGCCCAGCGCUGAAUCNCCCGUCCUCCUCGGGCGCGGGAAAUGUAGCGUACGGAAGUGCGAGUUCUCCCGGCGCGGUGCCGGGCCUGAGUCCUUCUGAUGGAGGCUCAGCCCAGGGACGGUGGCAGGCCGGUAACCCCGCCCCGCCGGUUCCGCUCUUCCCGGAGUCGGGUUGCUUGGGAAUGCAGCCCAAAGCGGGUGGUAAACUCCAUCUAAGGCUAAAUACCGGCACGAGACCGAUAGUCGACAAGUACC